GAUCUCGUAGCUCAGCCUGUAGAGCAUGCGCGUGAAAAGCGCAAGCGGCGUCCAUGCGCGGAUUCGAAACCCACCGAGGCUA
rnacentral:tRNA from 1 species